UGACGGGGGCCCGCACAAGCAGCGGAGCAUGUGGCUUAAUUCGACGCAACGCGAAGAACCUUACCAAGGCUUGACAUAUACCGGAAAGCAUCAGAGAUGGUGCCCCCCUUGUGGUCGGUAUACAGGUGGUGCAUGGCUGUCGUCAGCUCGUGUCGUGAGAUGUUGGGUUAAGUCCCGCAACGAGCGCAACCCUUGUUCUGUGUUGCCAGCAUGCCCUUCGGGGUGAUGGGGACUCACAGGAGACUGCCGGGGUCAACUCGGAGGAAGGUGGGGACGACGUCAAGUCAUCAUGCCCCUUAUGUCUUGGGCUGCACACGUGCUACAAUGGCCGGUACAAUGAGCUGCGAUGCCGCGAGGCGGAGCGAAUCUCAAAAAGCCGGUCUCAGUUCGGAUUGGGGUCUGCAACUCGACCCCAUGAAG
rnacentral:rRNA from 1 species